rnacentral:rRNA from 1 species
CGGUCUGGGAUGGGCUCGCGGCCUAUCAGCUUGUUGGUGGGGUAGUGGCCUACCAAGGCGACGACGGGUAGCCGGCCUGAGAGGGCGACCGGCCACACUGGGACUGAGAUACGGCCCAGACUCCUACGGGAGGCAGCAGUGGGGAAUAUUGCACAAUGGGCGCAAGCCUGAUGCAGCGACGCCGCGUGAGGGAUGACGGCCUUCGGGUUGUAAACCUCUUUCAGCAGGGAAGAAGCGAAAGUGACGGUACCUGCAGAAGAAGCGCCGGCUAACUACGUGCCAGCAGCCGCGGUAAUACGUAGGGCGCAAGCGUUGUCCGGAAUUAUUGGGCGUAAAGAGCUCGUAGGCGGUUUGUCGCGUCUGCUGUGAAAACCUAAGGCUCAACCUUGGGCUUGCAGUGGGUACGGGCAGACUAGAGUGCGGUAGGGGUGACUGGAAUUCCUGGUGUAGCGGUGGAAUGCGCAGAUAUCAGGAGGAACACCGAUGGCGAAGGCAGGUCACUGGGCCGCAACUGACGCUGAGGAGCGAAAGCAUGGGGAGCGAACAGGAUUAGAUACCCUGGUAGUCCAUGCCGUAAACGUUGGGCACUAGGUGUGGGGCUCAUUCCACGAGUUCCGUGCCGCAGCA